UUCUGACAGGAAUUCUGGCUUCUGGGGUGGUAUGUAUGUUUUUUUCUCAAGGGCUGGGGUUUAAACAU
rnacentral:pre_miRNA from 1 species